rnacentral:rRNA from 1 species
ACUCCUACGGGAGGCAGCAGUGGGAAUCUUAGACAAUGGGGGAAACCCUGAUCUAGCCAUGCCGCGUGAGUGACGAAGGCCCUAGGGUCGUAAAGCUCUUUCGCUGGGGAAGAUAAUGACUGUACCCAGUAAAGAAACCCCGGCUAACUCCGUGCCAGCAGCCGCGGUAAUACGGAGGGGUUAGCGUUGUUCGGAAUUACUGGGCGUAAAGCGCGCGUAGCGGACUAUUAAGUCAGAGGUGAAAUCCCGGGGCUCAACCCCGGAACUGCCUUUGAUACUGGUAGUCUUGAGUUCGAGAGAGGUGAGUGGAAUUGCGAGUGUAGAGGUGAAAUUCGUAGAUAUUCGCAGGAACACCAGUGGCGAAGGCGGCUCACUGGCUCGAUACUGACGCUGAGGUGCGAAAGUGUGGGGAGCAAACAGGAUUAGAUACCCUGGUAGGCUCUGC